ensembl:lincRNA
GUGUGUAGUGUGUGUCUAUCUGCAUAUGUGUGUAUGUGUGUGUAGCUUGUGUUUGUCUACUAUUUGUGAAAAAUAACAUCAGAAUGUACACUGGUUCACAGAAGAAGAUAGCUGGGAAGAGGGUCCCCCGCAUGCCUGGCAGCCUGUGGACAGAGGAUGGAGAACGCGGAGCCUCCUUUGUGCCUGGGCCUCUCAUGCGCCCUGCCCGGGGAGCGGGUGCUCCAAGCCUGAGGCCCUGCCCUCUCCCUGCCUGCCUGCUCUGUGGCUGCUGUGGGGCACAGUCCUGAGGCCGAGGGAAGGCGCUGGCUGCUCCGCGCCCGCUCAUGGCGUCCCCUGCCUUCCCUGGCCCCUCACCUGCGGUCCCACCUCCCGCCCUCGGCCUCAGGGCGGGGCGCGACUGGGGCCCAUGGAGCGUCUGCCGCCCAGGACCGAGCUGGACACUUCUGCCUGCCCCAGACCGGGGAGUCGCUCCCAAAUCGGAGCUCCGCCUCUGUGCCUCCUCCGGAACGUGCGUGUCCGUGCCUCCCGUGCCCCGCCGGAGUCUCAGGCACUCCCUCCAAGACAGACUUCUCUGUGGAAGCAGCAUAUUGGAGGCCUGCUAGGACAGUUCACAGGAAUGGCUGUGGAGGGCUGCAGGCAUGUCUCUAAUCAGAACCUGCUUGUCUUUUUGAUUGACAGCUGCACUUUCUCCACCAAGAAGUGGAUACUGUGCAAGUUAUGGUCAUAGUGAAGGUGGGGGACAUGGUAAGUCCUUAUUGUGCAGACAGUCAUUUCCUGUUUUCAAUCCCACCUGUAAAUGGAAUCUCCACUGGGGAGAUACCCAGAUUCUGGGGCAGUCCCAGUAAGGAUCUGCUUCUGGGAGUGGGGGAAUCCAGCAUGAACACCCAGAAAUAUACUACAGCAGGGAGAUCAGCACUGGUCCUUAAGCUAAGAAAAGGGGUAGCCACACACUGUCACUCAGAGAUGUGUGCUGAAC